rnacentral:lncRNA from 10 species
AUUUGGCUGGGCCUUUGUCUCUCGCUCCCACCAGAGCUUGGAAUCCGUCUCUGCUCUUCUGCAUUCUCCACCUCGGGAGCCCCUGGGGACUCUGUGACGGCCUCUGUUGCCCUGUGAUCUGCAGGUCCGGAGAGACGCACAGCUAAGAUGUCAGGACAUCCUGGAAGCUGGGAAAGGGUCUUGCCAUCUCUAAGCUGGACCUGGUGACCUUUUUGGAGGGAAAGAAAGAGCCCUGGACUGUGAAGAGUGAGGAGACCAUAGCUGCACAGCCAGUCCAGAUGUAUAAUCUCAUCCCUGAACAUUUCUGAUGGUGUGAUUAUGACAUGUGACUUUAUCUGGCAACAGAGUGAGUUGUUGCUCCCGCCUGAGCCCAGCCCCCAGAAAGGAUUGUGACAUAUCGUUGGACCCAGAAUUGAGGUGGAAUUGUGACAUAUAACUUGGCCAAGCACACAGAUGUAAUGGUGUGGUGACUCUCAUACCUAGAACUGGGACCUGUGCAGGAUUGUUAAUUCAUUACUGGACAUUCCUGUGGGUGUGAUUGUUACAUAUGCCUAUGUUCAGCACCCGAGUGAUUUGAUUUUGCUGCCUGGUCUCAGUCCAAAUGUAAGAUUGUGAUUUAUCGCUGAAUCCAGCACCUCGGUGAUUUGACUCUCCCUUUUUUUGUGGGAGGGAUCCUGCAAAUUUUGGGUAUUGUCAAUUAUUGCUGAAUCCUGUACCCAUGUUAUGACUCUCCCAAAUGUGCCUUACCUGUUGUGGCACAAUAUAUCACAUUAGACAUUGUUAAAUAUUGUUGGGUUCAACACCUGGGUGAUGGAUGUAACUUUUUUUCUGGGCCUGCCUACAGGGGACCUUGUGACAUAACUCAAUGCCCAUCAUCAUGGUAAUGUUACUCUCUUCUCCUGCCUGAUCUCUGCUCACAGAGAAAUUGUGACACAUCACUGGCCUAGCAUCUAGGUGAUGUGACUCUCCUCUUUUUUUCAGGCUCUGCAUAUUUGGGUAUUGUGACAUAUUGCUGAACUCAACACCUAAGGGAUGGGAGUCUCCUACCUAGGCCCUUCCUACAGGGGACAUUGUGACAUGUCUCUGCAUUCCUCAUCCAGGAGAUGUGACUCUCCUUUUCUGCCUACACCCUGCCUACACAGAAAGUUGUGGCAUAUUGCUGUGGUCAGCAACCAGAUGAUAUAUUUCUCCUGCCUGGGUCUUUAUUACAGGAAAGAUGAUUGACAUAUUACUGGGCCCAGCAUCCAGAUGAUGUGACUCUCUUCUUCUGUUGGUCCUUGCUUACAGGGAAACUGUAGCAUAUUGCUACACCCAACACCUAGCUUAUGUGAUUCUUCUUUUAGGUUUGCCUUCAGGGAACAUUGUGACAUAUUGCUGGGCCCUGCACUGAUAAUUUGUGACUCUUCUGCCUGUGAUUUGCCCACUUGGGGCAUUGUGACAUAUUGCUGGGUUUAACACUCAGGUGAUGUAACUUUUAUGCCUAGGCCUUGCUUACAGGAGGCAUUUUGAAAUGUCUUUGUGGCUGGGCAUGGUGGCUCAUGUCUGUAAUCCCAGCGCUUGGGGAGGCCAAGGUGGGCAGAUCACAAAGUCAGGAGUUCGAGACCAGCCUGGUCAACAUGGUGAAAACCUGUCUCUACUAAAACAAAACAAAACAAAACAAAACAAAACAAAACAAAACAAAACAAAACAAAUAAAACCACAAAAAUCAGCCAGGUGUGGUGAUUGGUGCCUGUAGUUGCAGCUACUCAGGAGGCUGAGGCAGGAUAAUCGCUUAAGUCCAGGAGGUGGAGGUUGCAGUGAGCUGAGAUUGCACCACUGCACUCCAUCCUGGGCAACAGAGUGAGACUCCAUCUCCAAAAAAAAU